rnacentral:rRNA from 1 species
AUUGAACGCUGGCGGCAGGCCUAACACAUGCAAGUCGAGCGGAUGAAGGGAGCUUGCUCCUGGAUUCAGCGGCGGACGGGUGAGUAAUGCCUAGGAAUCUGCCUGGUAGUGGGGGAUAACGUCCGGAAACGGGCGCUAAUACCGCAUACGUCCUAAGGGAGAAAGUGGGGGAUCUUCGGACCUCACGCUAUCAGAUGAGCCUAGGUCGGAUUAGCUAGUUGGUGGGGUAAAGGCCUACCAAGGCGACGAUCCGUAACUGGUCUGAGAGGAUGAUCAGUCACACUGGAACUGAGACACGGUCCAGACUCCUACGGGAGGCAGCAGUGGGGAAUAUUGGACAAUGGGCGAAAGCCUGAUCCAGCCAUGCCGCGUGUGUGAAGAAGGUCUUCGGAUUGUAAAGCACUUUAAGUUGGGAGGAAGGGCAGUAAGUUAAUACCUUGCUGUUUUGACGUUACCAACAGAAUAAGCACCGGCUAAUUUCGUG